ACCGUUAGGCUAUAUAUCUACCACUAUAAGAUUGUCGGAACCGGCUCCGAGAACAGAGUCAAUAUUAGGCAGACUUCCCAAUAAUGACAAUCCUCCCACCAUCAUCAUGUCAGAAUCGCUACCUUUUAGGUCUUUUUGUCUCUCUCACCAAUGGCUGCCAUAUUUUUAAAGAAGAAAAGGAAGAAAAGAGCCUUCAGUUGAGAUAAUGAACCCGUUAAGAAUGUUACACUAUUUAAACAUAGAAGAAAAACAAAGAUUGAAAGAGAGAUAAAUCUCAGGGCAGCCACCAUCAUCAUGAAGCGGGAACUGUUAUUGGUA